rnacentral:rRNA from 1 species
GUAGUCUGCAACCCGACUACACGAAGCCGGAAUCGCUAGUAAUCGCGAAUCAGAAUGUCGCGGUGAAUACGUUCCCGGGUCUUGUACACACCGCCCGUCACACCAUGGGAGUUGGAAAUGCCCGAAGUCAGUGACCUAACCCGUAAGGGAGGGAGCUGCCGAAGGCAGGUCUGAUAACUGGGGUGAAGUCGUAACAAGGUACC